UACAGAGGUCUCAAGCGUUGUUCGGAUUCAUUGGGCGUAAAGGGUGCGUAGGUGGCGCGGUAAGUCGGGUGUGAAAUCUCGGAGCUUAACUCCGAAAUUGCAUUCGAUACUGCCGUGCUCGAGGACUGGAGAGGAGACUGGAAUUCAUGGUGUAGCAGUGAAAUGCGUAGAGAUCAUGAGGAAGACCAGUGGCGAAGGCGGGUCUCUGGGCAACAACUGACGCUGAGGAGCGAAAGCGUGGGGAGCGAACAGG
rnacentral:rRNA from 1 species